CGGAGAGUAGUAUAGUGGUAGUAUACAUGCUUUGGGAGCAUGCGGUCCGAGUUCGAUUCUCGGCUCUCCGACAA
rnacentral:tRNA from 3 species